rnacentral:rRNA from 1 species
UACGGAGGAUCCGAGCGUUAUCCGGAUUUAUUGGGUUUAAAGGGUGCGCAGGCGGGAGAUUAAGUCGGCGGUGAAAUUUUGCAGCCCAACUGUAAAAGUGCCUUCGAAACUGGUUUCCUUGAGUGUAGAUGAAGUAGGCGGAAUUUGUGAUGUAGCGGUGAAAUGCAUAGAUAUCACGAGGAACUCCGAUUGCGAAGGCAGCUUACUAAGCUACUACUGACGCUCAGGCACGAAGGCGUGGGGAUCAAACAGGAUUAGAUACCCCCGUAGUCCCU